rnacentral:rRNA from 1 species
CUACGGGGCGCUGCAGUGAGGAAUAUUGCACAAUGGGGGGAACCCUGAUGCAGCAACGCCGCGUGGAGGAUGACGCAUUUCGGUGUGUAAACUCCUUUUAUAUGUCAAGAAAAUGACGGUAGCAUAUGAAUAAGCACCGGCUAACUCCGUGCCAGCAGCCGCGGUAAUACGGAGGGUGCAAGCGUUACUCGGAAUCACUGGGCGUAAAGGACGCGUAGGCGGGUUGGAAAGUCAGGUGUGAAAUACUACAGCUUAACUGUAGAACUGCACUUGAAACUUCUAAGCUAGAGUAUGGGAGGGGGAGAUGGAAUUAGUGGUGUAGGGGUAAAAUCCGUAGAUAUCACUAGGAAUACCUAAAGCGAAGGCGAUCUCCUGGAACAUUACUGACGCUAAGGCGUGAAAGCGUGGGGAGCAAACAGGAUUAGAUACCCGCGUAGUC